ensembl:lncRNA
GUAGGCGGCGUAUUCCGCGCGGCGCCAGUCGCAGAGGCGCUAGGGCGAUGUUGCGUGGUGAGGGGCGGGUGCGUGGGGUGGGCGCCGGUCGGGUGGGCGGAUGGGGCGGUGCCCGCUCGGAGCUGCCGCCGCGGGGUACUCACGUCCCACCUGCGGAAGGUGGGGCUAGCUCUGGAGGAGUUCCUUGGUGGCCUUGAGGACCUCAGACUUAACCCGGCCGCUGGAGCCAUCCCGGCGGACUGGAAGUGCACGGGCUAGGAGAGCAAGAAGGACGUGACAGGCGGGCGAACCUGACGUAAUUAGUGAACGAGGGCUAAAGAAAAAGAAGUCAGUAGGUGGAGAUGGGGCACACCUUUAGUCCCAGAACUCGGGAGGCAGAAAGAUCUCUAUUUAUUAUUAUUUUGUCAACAUGUAUGUCUGCACUACGAAAGAGGACACUGGAUCCCAUGAAGCUGCAGUAAUAGACAGUGGUGUCCCUCCCUGAUGAUUGCAUGCCAAGAUGAUCUGGUCUUCCCAUCCGUUGUUGUUUUCAGGUGCACUAUGUCUUUGGACCAUCUCCAUGAGUAAGGAAUGAGGACGCUGGGAAUAUAGUGAAGACCAAGAGACUUCCCGACCAGGAAACACCCAGGCAGAGGACCCAUAUUGUGUAAAGCAGAGCACCUGCAUCCUGUACCUUCUGUACCUGUGCUUACUGAUUCACGGACAGCAUGUGGCUUCAUUCUGAGUUCAGGUACAGAGACAGGAUGACUCUUCUUGUUAUGCGCGUAGACAUCACCACCUUUCUAGCACCAUCUAUGAGGUAAGCCCUGAUAAAUAGUUUAUUCCUAUACUACCUUAUAAACCUAUCAGAAUAGAUCAGGCCAGGUGAGGACUUGGGUAUAUAUUAAAACCCCCUUGGGAAAAAAGAAAAACAGCCCCAAGAAUUUAUCUAAGGUACAACCCUCUCACCUAGAUGCUAUAGAGAAAAUGAUAUCAAAUGUCGUGAUGAUGAAGGUCCCCACUGAGCUGUCAUCUGGCUACCCAGUAUGUGCACCACCCAAUUGACAGGCAGAGGACUCCCAGCUAUCCCAGUGCUUCAGCCAGCUCCAUCCCUAUUGCUGACUCUGCCUACCUGAACCACAGCCUAUCCCUUGAGCAAGUUCUACACCUUGUCUCUGCAGUCAGCUCAGCUCAGAGGCCUGAAUUCAACCCAGGGACCCUGUGGUUUGGCAGAUUCUCCAAGAGGCCAACACCACUCCUUACCUUCUUCCCACACCUCACCAGCGACUCUCUUUGUACCUUUAUCAGCCUAUACCUCUGUCUGUUUUAAAAAGAUGUAUUUUCGAAAGUCUAUACAUGGACUGACCCAGGGCUCCAACUGCAUACAUAGCAGAGAAUAGCCUUGUUGGGGCACCAGUGAAAGGGGAAGACCUUGGUCCUGCCAAGGUUCAACACCCAGUGCAGGGGAAUAUGUGGG